CCUACGGGUGGCAGCAGUGGGGAAUAUUGGACAAUGGGCGAAAGCCUGAUCCAGCCAUGCCGCGUGUGUGAAGAAGGCCUUCGGGUUGUAAAGCACUUUCAGUGGGGAAGAAAGCCUUGGGGCUAAUACCCUCGAGGAAGGACAUCACCCACAGAAGAAGCACCGGCUAACUCCGUGCCAGCAGCCGCGGUAAUACGGAGGGUGCGAGCGUUAAUCGGAAUUACUGGGCGGAAAGCGCGCGUAGGCGGUCUGAUAAGCCGGUUGUGAAAGCCCCGGGCGCAACCUGGGAACGGCAUCCGGAACUGUCAGGCUAGAGUGCAGGAGAGGAAGGUAGAAUUCCCGGUGUAGCGGUGAAAUGCGUAGAGAUCGGGAGGAAUACCAGUGGCGAAGGCGGCCUUCUGGACUGACACUGACGCUGAGGUGCGAAAGCGUGGGUAGCAAACAGGAUUAGAUACCCCGGUAGUC
rnacentral:rRNA from 1 species